rnacentral:rRNA from 1 species
UACGUAGGUGGCAAGCGUUGUCCGGAUUUACUGGGCGUAAAGAGCGCGCAGGCGGUCGUUCAAGUCGCGUGUGAAAGCCCCCCGGCUCAACUGGGGAGGGUCACGCGAUACUGAUCGACUCGAAGGCAGGAGAGGGUAGUGGAAUUCCCGGUGUAGUGGUGAAAUGCGUAGAUAUCGGGAGGAACACCCGUAGCGAAGGCGGCACUCUGGGCCGAUACUGACACUGAGGAGCGAAAGCGUGGGGAGCGAACAGG